rnacentral:rRNA from 1 species
GUGGGGAAUUUUGGACAAUGGGCGCAAGCCUGAUCCAGCAAUGCCGCGUGUGUGAAGAAGGCCUUUUGGUUGUAAAGCACUUUAAGCGAGGAGGAGGCUUACCUGGUUAAUACCUGGGAUAAGUGGACGUUACUCGCAGAAUAAGCACCGGCUAACUCUGUGCCAGCAGCCUCGGUAAUACAGAGGGUGCAAGCUUUAAUCGGAUUUACUGGGCGUAAAGCGCGCGUAGGUGGCUAAUUAAGUCAAAUGUGAAAUCCCCGAGCUUAACUUGGGAAUUGCAUUCGAUACUGGGUAGCUAGAGUAUGGGAGAGGAUGGUAGAAUUCCAGGUGUAGCGGUGAAAUGCGUAGAGAUCUGGAGGAAUACCGAUGGCGAAGGCAGCCAUCUGGCCUAAUACUGACACUGAGGUGCGAAAGCAUGGGGAGCAAACAGGAUUAGAUACCCCGGUAGUCC